AAGUCGUAACAAGGUUUCCGUAGGUGAACCUGCGGAAGGAUCAUUAACACUUUUCAUCCCUAAUAUAGAGGGUUCUGAGAGUUCUCUGAGCUAGAGUUUCCGCUCUGGUGCAGUGGCUCUUUCCCUUCUAUUUUCCACCCCUUUGUGUGCACUUGUUGAGAGGGUAAAACCUCUUGCUUUUUUUUCCAUUUUUAUUUUUUUUUACCCCUUUUCUAAUGCGAUAGACUGAAAUAAUAACCUAUUGGAAAGGUUCAAAACAUCCAAAAUAAGAAAUACAACUCUUAGCAACGGAUAUCUAGGCUCUC
rnacentral:misc_RNA from 1 species